UGGCAGUGAUGAAAAAAAGGCCGGACUCAUGGCUGCUACUUUUUAGUUGGUAGUAGAGUGAUGAAACCGUGUCUGAGGUAUUAUUUCUGAGCCAA